rnacentral:pre_miRNA from 1 species
UUAAUUGUCUGAGGCAAAUUCUCAUCUAGUUGUGGUAGACUCACACCUGACUGCUUAGAAUCACUAGUUAUCGUAGGAUCGACUACAUUAAAAUUGACUGGUUUUUUGUUUUCGAAGAGAUU